UUGCCCAAGAAAGUGUUUGAAGCUGCAGUCAAAUCCAUCAAGGCAGCCUCCUCCAAUACCUGCGGCCAGUGGAAGAUGUGGCCACGUCCCAAGACGACUGUUACAAGUUUGCCAUCUCACAGUCAUCCACGGGCACUGUUAUGGGAGCUGUUAUCAUGGAGGGCUUCUACGUUGUCUUUGAUCGGGCCCGAAAACGAAUUGGCUUUGCUGUCAGCGCUUGCCAUGG
rnacentral:lncRNA from 1 species